ACAUAUAUAGAUCUACAAUAUAGGAUGGGGUAUGAGAGAAAAACAUAUAUAGGUCUACUGUAUAGGAUGGGGUAUGAGAGAAAAACAUAUAUAGAUCUACAAUAUAGGAUGGGGUAUGAGAGAAAAACAUAUAUAGAUCUACAAUAUAGGAUGGGGUAUGAGAGAAAAACAUAUAUAGAUCUACAAUAUAGGAUGGGGUAUGAGAGAAAAACAUAUAUAGGUCUACUGUAUAGGAUGGGGUAUGAGAGAAAAACAUAUAUAGAUCUACAAUAUAGGAUGGGGUAUGAGAGAAAAACAUAUAUAGAUCUACAAUAUAGGAUGGGGUAUGAGAGAAAAACAUAUAUAGGUCUACUGUAUAGGAUGGGGUAUGAGAGAAAAACAUAUAUAGAUCUACAAUAUAGGAUGGGGUAUGAGAGAAAAACAUAUAUAGGUCUACUGUAUAGGAUGGGGUAUGAGAGAAAAACAUAUAUAGGUCUACUGUAUAGGAUGGGGUAUGAGAGAAAAACAUAUAUAGAUCUACAAUAUAGGAUGGGGUAUGAGAGAAAAACAUAUAUAGGUCUACUGUAUAGGAUGGGGUAUGAGAGAAAAAAAUAUAUAGGUUGACUGUAUAGGAUGGGGUAUGAGAGAAAAACAUAUAUAGAUCUACAAUAUAGGAUGGGGUAUGAGAGAAAAACAUAUAUAGGUUUACUGUAUAGGAUGGGGUAUGAGAGAAAAACAUAUAUAGGUCUACUGUAUAGGAUGGGGUAUGAGAGAAAAACAUAUAUAGGUCUACUGUAUAGGAUGGGGUAUGAGAGAAAAAAAUAUAUAGGUCUACUAUAUAGGAUGGGGUAUGAGAGAAAAACAUAUAAAGGUCUACUAUAUAUGAUGAGCUAUGAGAGAGAAAAAAAACAUAUAUAGGUCUCCUAUAUAUAGGAUGGGCUAUUAUAGAGAGGUGAUAUAAUUUUGGUGUCACCAUGAAAAAUUAUAAACAGACACUUGCAGUUUAACUUUUUAUUUGUUGUCUGGUUAAUCCUGUUUUUGUUGGUUGGAUAUUAUGGUCUGCAACCUUUAGCAGAUGUUCACACAAGCCAUUGUUAGGAAGCUAGGUACAAACAGCCCAGUGAAAUAGUUUAUAAUGAAAAAGUCUUGACCGAUGGUUGUAUACAUACAUGUUCCAUGCAUAAGUCAUGAUUUUCAAAAUAUUAGUCCACAGACUUGUCAUCAACAUAUACAAACUUUCUUAUAAAUGUACAAUAUAGCUUGAUUUCCAGCAGCUAUAGUAAAUCCUACAUUUUCAGACAGUGUAGAAAGAAUUUUAUACUGGUUUGUUUUGGUUAAAAGAAAUACCUUAGGCAAUAAACAUUCAAUUAAUUUACAACACAGAAUAAGUUAAUUUGAUAAACAAAUAAUGAUUAUUUCACAACUGUCCUGUCCAUUUAUUUCAAUUAUCUCAGGUACUUAAAAUUAAGAGAAAGUGCUCUCUUACCAUGUUUACAUGUAAAAGUUAUUAUACAUUAAUUCACAUACAGGUGGUAAUUGAUUUUUUACUCCCAUUCUAUUGUAGCUGUAAUUAACCUGUAGAACGCCUGAGGUAGAUAAAAACCUUUGAUCCUACAGGUGUUCAGGAGGUAGGCUAAACUGCUGUCAUGAUAAAGAUAUUAUCAAUAUGGUCAGGUUUGGGUCAACCUAAAGUGGACAAAUGUUAAUCUCUAAUGAACUGUAAAUUAAUUUAGUGAAUGACUUAAAAUUUCAAAUUUUUUACUAAAAUGGAUUAGUAGAGGUUGAUGAGGCCAAAUAGAAUUAAUUUUAUUAUACAUCCUCUCUUUUUGCGUUAUUUUUUGCACACUGCAAAUGAAUUUGUGAAAGUAUUAGAAUAAAAAAAUAUGGAUUGUCUGCAUCCUCAUAUAAAUUUUU